UGGAAAUCUAAGAGUAACAAGAAUCAGAAAAAUCUUCCUUUAGGUACUGGAAGACCUCAACAAAGUCUCCCUGGAACCUCCUCCAGGCUAAACAAGCCCAACUGUCUCAGCUGGUCUUUGUAGGAGAGAUGCUCCAUUCCUCUGAUCAUCUUCAUGGCCUUCCUCUGGACCCACUUCAACAGCUCCCUGUCUUUCUUAUGUUGAUGUCCACAGAGCUCAAUACAGUUCUCCAGGUGGGAUCUCACAAGAGAUGAGUCAAGGAAGCUAGGCACUUUCAUGAAGAGCUAGCAGAGUUUUGACGUGUUGAAGUAUAUUUAAAAUAUGUUAAUAUUUAAACCAUUAUCAAUAAAGAAAUAGAAAGCAG
rnacentral:lncRNA from 1 species